rnacentral:rRNA from 1 species
UGUACUGUCCACUCGGUCUUACAUUGCUUCUGGAUGCUCGGCGCUGCUCUUAACUGAGUGGCGCUUCAGGCCGGGAGGUGCCUUCGCGGGUGCCUUUCGCGCCGGAGUUCCAGAUCCAUUACUUUGAGAAAAUUAGAGUGUUCAAAGCAGGCUGUUUGCAGCCCUGAAUACAUUAGCAUGGGAUAAUGCGAUUUGGACUUCGGUCCUCAUCUCGUUGGUUUCUGAGGUGCGCCGAGUCAGGAUUAAUAGGGAUAGUUGGGGUGAUUAGUAUUCAGGCGUCAGAGGUGAAAUUCUUGGACCGCCUGAAGACUAACUUGUGCGAAAGCAUUUCACAAGGAUGUUUUCAUUAAUCAAGAACGAAAGUUGGGGGAUCGAAGACGAUCAGAUACCGUCGUAGUCUCAACCAUAAACCAUGCUGACCAGGGAUCGGGAGACGUCGUAUUUCCAAGGACUCCCCCGGCACCUUGUGAGAAAUCAUAAGUGUCUGGGCUUCGGGGGGAGUAUGGUCGCAAGGCUGAAACUUAAAGGAAUUGACGGAAGGGCACCACCAGGAGUGGAGCCUGCGGCUUAAUUUGACCCAACACGGGGAAACUCACCAGGUUCGGACAGCAGAAGGAUUGACAGAUUGAUAGCUCUUUCUUGAUUUGCUGGGUGGUGGUGCAUGGCCGUUCUUAGUUGGUGGAGUGAUUUGUCUGGUUGAUUCCGUUAACGAACGAGACCUUAACCUGCUAAAUAGUUACGCCAGCCUUCUCGUUACGCCCGGUGCGGUGGUGGGUUCGCUUGCUGCCGUGCUGGGUGGGAACGGCUGAGCCGGUAACUUCUUAGAGGGACUAUUCGCGUCUAGCGAAUGGAAGUUUGAGGCAAUAACAGGUCUGUGAUGCCCUUCGAUAUCCUGGGCUGCACGCGCGCUACACUGACAGAGUCAACGAGUUCAAACUUGGCCUUGGCCGAUGGGUCUGGGUAAUCUUGUGAAACUCUGUCGUGCUGGGGAUAGAUCAUUGCAAUUAUUGAUCUUCAACGAGGAAUUCCUAGUAAGCGUGAGUCAUCAGCUCGCGUUGAUUACGUCCCUGCCCUUUGUACACACCGCCCGUCGCUCCUACCGAUGGACGAAUCGGUGAAGACCUCAGACGGUGACACCGGGCGCCGAGCGGGGUAACUCGCUGGCGUCUUGCUUGCCAGAAGUAGUCUAAACCACUUCGUCUA